rnacentral:rRNA from 1 species
UACGAAGGGUGCUAGCGUUGUUCGGAAUUACUGGGCGUAAAGGGCGUGUAGGCGGACAUAUCAGUCAGGGGUGAAAUCCCGGGGCUCAACCCCGGAACUGCCUUUGAUACUGUAUGUCUAGAAUCUGUGAGGGGAUAGUGGAAUAUCAAGUGUAGAGGUGAAAUUCGUAGAUAUUUGAUGGAACACCAGUGGCGAAGGCGACUAUCUGGCACAGUAUUGACGCUGAGGCGCGAAAGCGUGGGGAGCAAACAGG